CACACACACAUAUAUGUAGAUUAGCAUGCUUUAGAAAUUUACUUUUCUUUAAAUAAUAUAUAACUGGAUAUAAAACAAAGUGAAGAUUUUACUAACAUUAGGUUUGGUUAAUCAUGCCUAUGAUAACCCUCAAGUAAAGCACACUAUUGCUGUCCUUAUCCCCGCAUGAUACUUGCAAGAACAGAAAAUAGUCCAAUGCACAUUAACAUUUGAAACUAAAACCUAUAAAAUAAUGAUAAAUUAUAUAAUACUCUUCCCACAAUAGGAAUUAUAUUUCUAAUUUCUGAAAUAUCAAAAGAAGUAACAUUUAAAAAUAGUUAUAUAUCCAUCCCCAACCUUCUCUUGAUUUAUGUUAGAGUUUACCUUAGAAACAAAUCUAACUUUACCUUAGAAACAAAUCUAACUUUACCUUAGAAACAAAUAUAAUUCACUGGCGAUGUAGCCACUGUUGCCACGGCAACUACCAACAUCAGCAUGGCCAGUUACUAAGAUAUGGCCCAGUGACUCAGGGACGUCUCUAUAUUGUACAAUUUUUACACUCAUCACAGCAAUGAACAAUAUCAUCAUCAUCUUAAUUUUGAAGAAUGGAAAAUGAGAAGAACAUUUACUGAAGAAAUUGGAGACCAGUUACAUGGAGCUGAAGUGAUGUGUGUCACAUCCAGGAAGAGCCAUUUAAUUGCUAUGUGAGACUCUAGCAAUCUCUUGGAAAUUGUAGAGGAGGAUCAUGUUACAAGGGAGGUGCCACAAGAUUGAAGCAUCCUUGAUUUCUAGGUCACCAAAUGGAAACAGGUUGUCCUGGAUAGUCACUGCGAUUCACAGUAAACUUUCUAUGAACAAGAAACAAACUAUAAAGGGAUUAAGUCACUCAGAUUGUGUACUGUUUUGCUACUACAGCAUGAUUUAGGUUAUUCCGAUUAAUUCAGACACUAGAACUAGAGUUAGUAUGGCACUGUUAAAAAAACUCUAAAACAUAAGGCACUGACUUAGUUGCUGGGCAAUGUUCAGCUUCUAGGAAUAUGGCAUGAGAGGCUGUAAUUAUGACAGAGGACUGCAUUACUUACAGCACAGCAAGCACCAUUGUGUUGCUUCUUUUUGUACCCCAAAUUCAAUGGAGGUAACGUGGAAAGGCCCGGGUGGAUGGUGCAUACAUGGUUGGUUUGCACCAUACCCGAAGAACCCCAAGUUUAAGAAAUCUGAAUCUUCUCUUGGGCUGCAAGUAAUCUGUUUGAGCUUUGCCCGAGAAGGGGGGAGAGAGAGAGAGAGAGAGAGAGAGAGAGAGAGAAAGAGAAAGAGAAAA